CUUUGCAUUAUAAAUCAACAGCAGAAUUAAUUUCAAAUAAAUUUUUAUUGAAUUCAGUUUUCAUAUUAAUUUUUUAAAUAGGCUUACAUUAUUCUAACCGCAGAGAACUUCAAAUAAAACUAGUGUGUAAAGUUGGCAGCCUGUUGUGUGGAUUGUAUUCAAUGACGUCAUGGACGGAGCGGUUAUUUUUCUCAGGCGCGCCAUCCACAAACGCGCCUGUGUGAGUAGCAGUCGAGUGUUGAGAUAGUACGGUCGUGUUUUACGUAUAUUUGUGUGCUGAGAGUGUCAAUUGUUGGUUAAAAAGCAAAAGUAAAAAAAAAACGUAUCAAAAUAGUUAAGAAAAAAGUGAACUUGUGAAAAUAGCUGAAAAAGUUUCCCUUUUGUCCCACCGUAUAUAAUUAUUGUGAAAUAGUGUCAGUGAAUUAAUAGAAAAGUAUUUCUGUGCAAUAUAAUU
rnacentral:lncRNA from 1 species